rnacentral:rRNA from 1 species
AUUGAACGCUGGCGGCAGGCCUAAAACAUGCAAGUUGAAAGAGUGGCGGACGGGUGAGUAAUGUCUGGGAAAUGGCAGUAUGGAGGGGGAUAACUAAUGGAAACGGUAGCUAAUACCGCAUAACAUGAGAUGUGCCCAGAUGGGAUUAGCUUGUUGGUGGGGUACAGGCGCACCAAGGCGACGAUCCCUAGCUGGUCUGAGAGGCUGACCAGCCACACCCGAACUCGUACACUAUCCGGACUCCUCCGUGAGGCAGCAGUGGGGAAUAUUGCACAAUGGGCGCUCACCUACUGCAUCCAUGCCGCGUGUAUUCAGUAGGCCUUCGGGUUGUAAACUACUUUCAGCGGGGAGGCUUUACUCGCAGAAGAAGCACCGGCUAACUCCGUGCCUGCAGCCGCGGUAAUUC